rnacentral:rRNA from 1 species
GAUCGGGUGGGGCGGUCCGCCUGACGGCGUGUUUACUGCUCGACCGGGUCUUGCCUCUUGGUGACCCGUCGUGUUCUUCAUUGAAUGCCUCGGGAAACCAGGACUUUUACCUUGAGAAAAUUAGAGUGUUCAAAGCAGGCCUAUGCCUGAAUACAUUAGCAUGGAAUAAUAGAAUAGGAC